GGCGUCAGCCCACUAGCUAGCUCUGUGUCACUCCAUUCUUUUAUUUCUGCGAGGUUCUUUUCCACUCCCUCCCUCAUGGAGGGCUCAGGAUUGCUUUUUCUUUACUGUACCUGCUGCUGUUUCACUAAGAUGGAGAACAGAGGAAGGGGACGAGAGGAGGGAAGAUGGAUGGGUCGAGAGUUUACUCUUCAGUGUUACAACUCUCUCGAGGCUCCUCAAAGAGUGUAUCCCUCAUACUGGACACCACCCAGCUGUUGGAGACCCUGGAGGCCGAGAGUCUGAGGUUCCGACGUUGCAAUUCAAACCCCAAAGCACAGAAGAUCUUCAUUUUGGUUUCAGAGAAGUCAUUAUCUUCAUUUUUUGGGGGGGGGGAUACUGAGAUGACCCCCAAG
ensembl:lncRNA